rnacentral:tRNA from 2 species
GCUCGCUUGGCCAAGGGGUAAGGCGUCUGUCUCGUAAACAGAAGAUCGUCGGUUCGAAUCCGACAGUGAGCA